rnacentral:rRNA from 1 species
UACGUAGGGUGCAGGCGUUAAUCGGAAUUACUGGGCGUAAAGCGCACGUAGUCGGCUUUGCAAGUCGGUUGUGAAAUCCCCGGGCUCAACCUGGGAACUGCAUCCGAGACUGCAUUGCUAGAGUAUGGGAGAGGAAAGCGGAAUUUCUGGUGUAGCAGUGAAAUGCGUAGAUAUCAGAAGGAACAUCAGUGGCGAAGGCGGCUUUCUGGACCAAUACUGACGAUCAGGUGCGAAAGCGUGGGGAGCAAACAGG